GUUGUACUCCCUCCGUCCAGAAAUACUUGUCGAAAAAAUGCAUAAAAAUGGAUGUAUCUAGAACUAAAAUACGUCUAGAUACAUCCAUUCCUCCAACAAGUAUUUCUGGACGGAGGGAGUACCAU
rnacentral:pre_miRNA from 1 species